GAAACUCAUGUCAAGAAGAAUCAAAACCUAACAGAGCUAAAACGGUCCCAAAGUCACCUGUCAUCUGUCACUCAACAACAAAAAGACACAUUUGCACAUGGAAACCUUUUGUUCUAUUUUUGGUGGAAAGCAGUCUCAGCAAUUGAACACGUCAUACGCACAUCUUUUCUUCUCCUGCAUAGCUCAGGAUCUAAUUCUGGUGAAGGCCAACAGCUCUUGAUGACGGGUACUUUCUUGUAAACUGGAGCCAUUGAAUCACAUGGGAUGGCUUCAAGACGAAGAGGAGGCGGAGGUAAUGAAGAGGAGACAACAAAUGAGAGGAACUUUGCCUCGGGUGUAUUUGGACCGUGAGAUUUGUUCCUCUAAUUGCUCCUGAGUUUCCAGAGUCACCAUAUGUUCAGCGGUGUCAGGCUUUGGUAAAGAACACGUGGGGAGAAUGAAAGAUGGAUGGUGUUGAACUGAAGACCACAGGGGACGUCUGUUUGACACACCAAUACAUCUUUUAGUUUUUCCCACCGCCAGGCACACCCGAGGCUGCAUCAAAUAAAAAACAUGCCUGAUAGGUAGAGGGACUGUCCUCCAACCGAGUGACCUGAUGGGACUCUCUGACCCUGCUGUCUGACGUCUGAGGGGAGGGGGCACAGUUUCCCCUAAAGCAGGGGUGUCCAAACUACGGCCCGGGUGCUAAAUGCGGCCCGCGGGACAUUUUGAAUUGGCCCUCAUCAAAUUCAAAAAGUAUAAUGGAAUAGGCCGACGGCCCACAAAUGAAACUUAAGCUUUUCUUGUAUUGUACUUAUUAAACAUCCUCCUGAGACCCA